rnacentral:lncRNA from 1 species
AGCGGCAAAGAUAGUUGGAUUCCUUCGGACAACAUUAACAAAGGCCAUCUUGACUACUUCUUCUGGCUUUUGGUUUGUCUUGGAUGUGUUAACAUACCUGUUUUUAUCUUCUUCUCUGUGAAGUACACUCACAAGAAGGUUUGAUCUCUUCUUUCAAAAUAUUUGUCAAGCACAAAACAUUAUGUGGACCUUAAUAACCUUUGUGUUACAAAUUGAAACACUAUGUGUCUAACAAUAAAAGCGUGAAGAUAGUCAUGAUCAUAAUGUUUAUAUUUGGUAACCCCGACUCACACUAAUAAGGUACUUAAAUUAAGUUUUUUCGCAUAAAAACUAUAUAACUAACUACGCAGCUAAACUUUUAUAAUGCCACGGUUCGUAAAUACUUGAGACAAAAAAUUGAAUAUUUUCAUUUUGUAAUCAACUCACCUCGCACCAGACCAUUUACAUUCUGCCUCCUCUUCUAUUUGAAUGCAAUGAUGUUAUCCCCACCAGAGUGAAGUCACUUAGCAAGAUAAAAUAUAAUGAGUUGCGUAUGAGGUUUCAUGUUCCUGUCUUACAAUUACACAUGGCUAAAUAAGCUUACACUCUUUUAUCACAGACCAGACCACAGCUUCAGACUACAUCAAUUAAUCUGUCAGCUCCUUCAUUUGGCCCUGUUCCAAUUCACAAAUCUCAACAUUUAGAAACACUUUAUCAUC